rnacentral:rRNA from 1 species
UACAGAGGUGGCAAGCGUUGUUCGGAAUUACUGGGCGUAAAGGGCGCGUAGGUGGCUCUCUAAGUCAGACGUGAAAUCCCCGGGCUUAACUCGGGAACUGCGUCUGAUACUGGAAAGCUUGAGUUCGGGAGAGGAAUGUGGAAUUCCAGGUGUAGCGGUGAAAUGCGUAGAUAUCUGGAGGAACACCGGUGGCGAAGGCGGCAUUCUGGACCGAAACUGACGCUGAGGCGCGAAAGCCAGGGGAGCAAAGCGGG